AACGAACGCUGGCGGCAUGCCUAACACAUGCAAGUCGAACGAGACCUUCGGGUCUAGUGGCGCACGGGUGCGUAACGCGUGGGAACCUGCCCUUAGGUUUGGAAUAACUCCCCGAAAGGGGUGCUAAUACCGGAUAAUGUCUUCGGACCAAAGAUUUAUCGCCUUUGGAUGGGCCCGCGUUGGAUUAGCUAGUUGGUAGGGUAAAAGCCUACCAAGGCGACGAUCCAUAGCUGGUCUGAGAGGAUGAUCAGCCACACUGGGACUGAGACACGGCCCAGCCCCCUCCGGAGGGACGGAGGGGGGAAUUUUGGACAUUGGGCAAAGCCCCGACCCACCAAGGCCGGGUGAGUGAUGAAGGCUUUAGGUUUGUAAAGCUCUUUUCCCCGGGAUGAUAAUGACCGUACCGGGAAAAUAAGCCCCGGCUAACCCCGU
rnacentral:rRNA from 1 species